UGAUUGUUUUUUAUUAUAUUUACAACAGAGAAAGGUUGUUUAUUGUUACAACAGUUUGUUGAAGUUUGUACACCAGACAAAGACAUAGGAUCAUGUGCAGGUUUACUGUUUGUAUCAAGAACGGUCCACUACCCAAAGGAUAUUCAGCCAACUUGACACGACUGGGAAGCAUUGGAGUCAACAUGGGCCAGCAUCCCUGUGGAACGCUUUUGACAGUGGGGAACUCAGGGGUAGCUCAAUAUUAGUAAGGUGUUCCUAAUGUUUGGUAUACCCAGUAUAUACAGUGCAUCCCGGACGAGACCCCAAAUUUACUAAACCACCUACCUAGCCUAUUGAUAUUGCUACUCAUGCUAAGUCUAGGGUUCCUAAAUGGUCUGUAACCAAGGUGUACAUUUAAGUGAGAAGUCUGAGUAUGCAGACCUUGUUGUAUGCAUGGGGGGAAAAAGUUGUCAAAACCAUAAGUGAAUACCUUGGAAUGUCAAAUACCAUGAAAUGUCAAAUCAGAGAUUUUUGUGGCAAAACCUACUCAAUGUCUAAGUGUAUGUACAAAUACUUUAAACUUCAUACUGUUUCAUGUUCAGUGUUAUACUUCAUUCUCCGAAAUGAUCCUCUGUUUAGACUUUGUUUGUUGGCAUUUCUUGAUGACUUUUACAGCCUUGCUUUGUGUCCGAGCCGCUUCGAUUGAAAAUUGUCAGUCAUUGACAUUUCAAAACCAUCCCUGAUGUUUUUCAAAAGUGUGUCUUCACCUAGACAUUAUAUACUUGUAAGUGCUCAGUGAUAUUGCCCUCAUAUUUGUGAUAUAUGUAUUUGCCAAAAUGACUUAGAUGUAAACAUAUUUAGUUCCGUGGAGGAAAGGCCUAGUUUUCUUUGUAUUGUUCACUCAUAGUCAUCCGGAGGCAUACCGCCAAGCCCAAACAUAUUUCCCAUGCACGUGGUUGAAGAAAAGCCCUGAGGUGAGUGUGAAAUUGCUUUUGUCUAGCUACUGCACCCACUUGCGUUCCUGUUUUGGCGCUGCCCCAGUUUCAAAAGGUAGUUUCGUCUGAAAGCUGCCUACAUUGAUUACAUUAGGUGCGGUUUUCCCAAUGACUGGCAGAUAGUGUUUGGUCCCAUCUCCAUCCAUUCACUCCUGUGAUAAAUCUCCUUCCUUAUGGGUCCAGCUGAGCUGGAGUGCUAUACAUAAUCAGACAGUAAACAGAAAGUUUCCUGACUUUGCUGUCAGUAAGUCCAUGAUUGGAAGAGAUUUAAUAAAGGUUGUGAAUAAAGGACUUAAAUCCACCAGAAUAACUUGGGUUGGCAUUAUAGAAAUUGAUAUUACCUUUUCACAUUUGUUUUUAAUACGAGCUUAAUACAUUUGUCAGUGGGAGAUUUGGUAAUUUGACUUUGUAUUGGAGAAUCACCAUAUAAUUAUUUUUUGUCACAUUAACAUAUCGUCUAACAUCGUCUCGAAUGAUCUCUUCCCUCUUUCACAAAACCAGGUUAUAGAACAGAAGGGAAAUCAUUUCAGGUUGACAAGGUGAAGAUUGAGAUGACAGCAGUGCCUUUCAGUUACAGCAAAUGUAGUCAAUCUGCCUUCUUGUUUUUGGAAAACCUACUGACAGAUCUACAAACUGUUUUCUUUUUUAUUCAAAACCUAAUGAAUAUAGUCAACGUUCUUUUGAGUUUAACUAAUUGUAGUUCCAUUUCGGUAAUGAAACAGCCAUAAAUAAGUAGCAAAGCCUGAGUGUCCUCAUGGAUAUUUCUAAUAAACUUUGUUCUGCCAACUCAGCAGGCCAGUUUCUUGUCUUGCAUGACCUAAUUAAGAAAACCAUCUAAAGUAACCUUUACAUGUAAAAAGAGACUGUUAAGAAGAAGUAAUACACUUCUAACAGUGAGGUCUAAGUGCUGGUUAAUAAACCAUACCCGGGCAAUAUAAUCCCACAAGAUAAACAGUCGUUUUCAACAUGUUUCUUCCGUGGUAACCUUAAUAAACCAAGUUAAACUAUGCCUACCUUGUUCUUGUUAUUGACAGUCAGCUCAUUCAGAUAUUGCUUGAAGGGGUUUGGAUGAAAUGCUUCAUUAUCUUCCUCUGGUAAUCUUGGGAUAAUAUUAGCAGGUCGAAUUACCCCAGGCUUGGUCUGUAAUAUACACUUAAUAAAUGAAUCAGAAAGCAUAUGUGCAUUCAUUAGCAUUACAGAGUUUAAACAGAUUUGACAUAUUUGCAAUAGAAUACCUUAUAUGGAUCUGGUAGUUCUCUCUCAAUAGUUGCAGAUGGUUGUAGGUUGUAUGUUGCCUGUAAUUAUUUUUAAGUACCUUUCCUUCAGAAAGUAUUCACACCCCUUGAUUUAUUCCACAUUUUGUUGUGUAACAGCCUGAAUUCAAAAUGGAUUAACUCAAUUUUUUUCUCAUCCAUCUACACACAAUAUCCCAUAAUGACAAAGUAAAUGUAUGUUUUUAGAUAUGUUUGCACAUUUUAUUAAAAAUGAAAUACAGAAAUAUAUAAUUUACAUAAGUAUUCACACCCCUGAGUCAAUACUUAGUAGAAGCACCUUUGACAGUGAUUACAGCUGAGUCUUUCUGGGUAAGUCUCUAAGAGCUGGAUUGAAAUUGAAUCUAUUUUAAAUUCAAGCUGUAGCACAACAAAAUGUGGGACAAGUCAAGAGGUGCGAAUACUUUCUGAAUGCACAGGGUAUGUCUAAAACUAUCCUAGAGCAAUCUUUGUCAGGAUAUUUUGCAUAUGAGAAAUGAGAACAUCACAACAAAGAACACCUCAUUACAGUAUCAGAAGGAGUGAAUAAUACAUUGUUUAGUUAUUCAAUUACAGACACAGUAAUUAGUCAUCAGCAAAGUUAUGGUGCUUUCCAAUGUGGCCACCAGAUUUAUCUUUUUGAAGCGCCUGGAACGUUUUUCUUCUUCUUCCAGAUGCACAAUAGCAAGCAUUCUCAUUUAUUUUGGGAUAUGUGUAGUUUAUUACUAAGGGAACAAAACAAAAAUGUAUACUCACAUAUUUAGUUUCAUGUCCCAAUGACCUUGGCAAUGAU
rnacentral:lncRNA from 1 species